GAUCAUGGCUCAGAGCGAACGCUGGCGGCAGGCUUAACACAUGCAAGUCGAGCGGGCGUAGCAAUACGUCAGCGGCAGACGGGUGAGUAACGCGUGGGAACGUACCUUUUGGUUCGGAACAACUGAGGGAAACUUCAGCUAAUACCGGAUAAGCCCGUAACGGGGAAAGAUUUAUCGCCGAAAGAUCGGCCCGCGUCUGAUUAGCUAGUUGGUGAGGUAACGGCUCACCAAGGCGACGAUCAGUAG
rnacentral:rRNA from 1 species